rnacentral:rRNA from 1 species
GAUGAACGCUGGCGGCGUGCCUAAUACAUGCAAGUCGAGCGGACGGACGCGAAGCUUGCUUUUCUGAUGUUAGCGGAGGACGGGUGAGUCACACGUGGAUAACCUACCUAUAAGACUGGGAUAACUUCGGAAAACCGGAGCUAAUACCGGAUAAUAUUUUGAACCGCGUGGUUCAAAAGUGAAAGACGGUCUUGCGGGCAGUUCUCGAUGGAUCUCGGCUGGUUUGGGUGGUUGGUAGGGUAACGGCUUAUGAAGGGAACGAUGCGUAGCCGACCUGAUAGGGUGAUCGCCCACCCUGGAACUUGGACACCGUCCAUGCGCCUGCGGUAGGCACCAGUAUGGAACCUUCCGCAAUGGUCGGAAACCUGACGGAGCAACGCCGCGUGUGUGAUGAAGGUCUUCCGAUCGUAAAACUCUGUUAUUAGUGAAGAACAUAUGUGUAAGGAACUGUGCACAGCUUGACGGUACCUAGUCAGAAAGCCACGGCUAACUACGUG